CGCCUACGGGGGGCAGCAGUGGGGAAUAUUGCACAAUGGGGGAAACCCUGAUGCAGCGACGCCGCGUGAGCAAUGAAGUAUUUCGGUAUGUAAAGCUCUAUCAGCAGGGAAGAAGAUGACGGUACCUGACUAAGAAGCCCCGGCUAACUACGUGCCAGCAGCCGCGGUUAUACGUAGGGGGCAAGCGUUAUCCGGAUUUACUGGGAUUAAAGGGAGCGUAGACGGCGAUGCAAGCCAGAUGUGAAAGCCCGGGGCUCAACCCCGGGACUGCAUUUGGAACUGUGUGGCUGGAGGGUCGG
rnacentral:rRNA from 1 species